AAAAUAUAUUGCCAUUAGCUGGUACAUGUUAGAUUAGAUGUUACAAAACAUGUUGCCGCUGAUGGUUAGUGGUUGUAAAAUAUCGUAAAUAAUUGUUGUAAAUGAUACAAAAGUUGUUAACAACUACAAAAUAGGUUAGCGACAAUGAUGAAUGUUUUGUUAGAAUGCACGUAUAAAGAACAGUAACCUACGCUUGUCCUUGGAGAGAUCAAACCAAAUCCAACAAUAGUCCUCUUUAUGUCUUACGUGUGUUUCCUCUAGGGGUAAAAUAGUCAAGUGGUACACAAUUGUCUACAGUAAAAGAGAGUUUUUUUUAUGGAUUUGGGUAGUUUUCAAAUUUCUGCUCCAAUAUGGUAUAUUUUGCCAAUAAUCUCUUCAAAGAAAGCGAUAUGGUUUUUUUUUUUUUUUUUGGUGGUGGAUAUGGUUUUAAUCUCUUCUGGUGUGGUGGUGGUAUUUGUGUAUUUCUGUGAUAAUUUGAACGGGGAAGAAUAAAAAUAUGAUAAUUUUAACUAAUCAUAUUUUGAUCUCCUCGAACGAAUCACAUUUACAUGUGCAGUUGAGGUGUUCAAAUGCUACAAGUCUACAACCCUAUUGACAUUUUCAACAGUUGUCUGAGAUGGUCUGACUGAUUAUCUUUUUAGAACCGUGAGAUGGCACACAUGUCUUCACUCAAAAUUGUAAAAAAAUGUUUAUUAAAAGUUGUAGAAUUUGGUAAUGGUAACUCACUCGGUGUACUGCUUAGACUUCUAAAGAGGACCAUGUUUAAAGCUACGAGCUGGAUCAUCGAUGACCGGACGAGAAUUAGUUUGACGUGCUCUAUCUAUUCUUCGGUCCAAUGAGAUGGAUCUAUAUCCGAUGUUUUUUGGUUAAAAAAAACAUUGUAGACAUUGUCAUAAGUACAUACUAUGCCUUUUCUUAAAAGAAAAUCAUCAGUGAUAUUUUAAGUUUUAUGACAAACGACUUGUAAUGUCUU
rnacentral:lncRNA from 1 species